GGCCAUAUGGCUUAGUGGUUAUAGCAUGGGAUUUAUUUGGGGCCCGUAUUUUACAUGUUUCCUCCCAUCGCGUGGGUUCGAAUCCCACUAUGGCCU